GCCGGCGGGGGGACCCUGAAGAAGGUGGGAGAGGUGCGUGUCUGCACCCCAGAGCACAGGAAGACCGAGGAAGCCCAGAUGUACCAGCGCACAGUCAGAUUAUAUAACCAACUGGAAGAGGUUAAGCAGCGCAAGGAGGUGCGGACGAGACGGGAAUCCUAUGCCAAAAACAGGGAAAAAGCCAAGGAGUUUCAGAAGAAAACGUUACAGAAGCUCCGGGCGAAGCAAGCCCAGCACUGAAACCGCUGAAUGUGUGAAACUGUUCUGUGUGUCUUAAGAUAUUGUCUUCUAAGUUAUGUUCUAAUGUCUCUGGCCUUUUUAGAUGUAUUUUGUGGAAGGAUAAAUUACUAAAAUAACUUGAACUCAUUAUUGGCAGAUUUAACUUAAGUGCAAUUACAUUUUUUAUUUUUCUGAUUAAAGAUUUAAAACUUU